CCCCAAAGAUUUAAGAGUUACUCAACUAAGGCACAGCUUAUUUGAGACAGGAUACAGCCUACACUUCCGGGUAAACUCCAAAUAUUAUAACAAGUGGGCUUAAGAGCAGCCACCUUAAAAAGCGUUAUAGCUUAUUAUAAGUUCAUUAAUAAUCCCUCAUUCAACCAUGAACCCUUCUUCCCUACCGAGGGACUCCAUAAACAUAUGGUAGCCCCCCAUGCUGGGACUAGUAACAAGAAUUUAACAUUCUCCAAAAUGUAAGCUCAAGCCAGACCGGAUAGGCCACUGGCCUCUAACGGAAAUGAGCCAUCAGCAGCAACACAACAAGAAAACCCUGCUUUUUUAACCGUUAACCUUACACUAGAACAUUUCUGGAAAGAUUAAAAGGAUGGGAAGGAACUCGGCAAAACUUAACCCCGCCUGUUUACCAAAAACACCGCCUCUUGAUUACCUAUAAGAGGUCUAGCCUGCCCAGUGAAAAUUAAACGGCUGCGGUACCCUGACCGUGCAAAGGUAGCAUAAUCACCCGUUCUUUAAAUGAGGACUCGCAUCAAUGGCAUCACGAGGGCUAUACUGUCUCCCCCCCCCAAUCAGUGAAACUGAUCUCCCCGUGAAGAAGCGGGGAUAUAAAUAUAAGACGAGAAGACCCCAUGGAGCUUAAAACCACACAGCAACUCUACCCCACAACCCCCCAUAGUACUUAGAGAUGUGCAACAAGGUUUUUGGUUGGGGUGACCGCGGAGUAAAAACCAACCUCCACAUUGUAAAGAUCUAAAUCUUUAUCCUAGAACUACUAUUCAAAGAAUUUGUAUACAAACAACUAAUGACCCGAUUUUCGAUCAACGGACCAAGUUACCCUGGGGAUAACAGCGCAAUCUACUCUUAGAGCCCUUAUCGAUAAGUAGGCUUACGACCUCGAUGUUGGAUCAGGGUAUCCUAGCGG
rnacentral:rRNA from 1 species